CCUACGGGGGGCAGCAGUAGGGAAUAUUGCGCAAUGGGGGAAACCCUGACGCAGCGACGCCGCGUGAGUGAUGAAGGACUUCGGUUCGUAAAGCUCUGUUGUACGGGAAUAAAAAAAUGAAUGUACCGUACGAGUAAGGAUCGGCUAACUUCGUGCCAGCAGCCGCGGUAAGACGAGGGAUCCUAGCGUUGCUCGGAAUCAUUGGGCGUAAAGCGGGUGUAGGUGGCUUGGUAAGUCGGGUGUGAAAGCCCAGGGCUCAACCCUGGAAGUGCAUUCGAUACUGCUGAGCUUGAGUGCUAGAGAGGUUAAUAGAAUACCUGGUGUAGUGGUGAAAUACGUAGAUAUCAGGUGGAACACCGGAGGCGAAGGCGGUUAACUGGCUAGACACUGACACUGAGACCCGAAAGUGCGGGGAUCAAACAGGAUUAGAUACCCUUGUA
rnacentral:rRNA from 1 species